GCUAUAAAUAAAUUCACCUUUAUAAACUUUGCCGAGCAAGGCUCACAAGUCACAACGAAGCGUGUUGUUUACAUGUUGCCGUCUUGUUAACAAAUUUUCUUCGCCAUUAUUGCCCAGAAUUUUAUGACAUUACGUGUACAUGUAGCUAAAAGUUGCCUGGUUGUUUUGCUGUUGCUAAACUUUAUGGAUGGAUGUAAAAAGUUGUUAAUGAAGUUGAAUAUGUUGGAAAGAGACAGAUAGUUAAUACCGAACAAGUGGCAAAUAAGCAAGACAACAAUAACUUGAAACACAUUUUUGUGGCAUAUAUUUCGGGCAGAGACUCGGAACCAGUUCCGGCCGAACUGUCUAGAGGCACUCGCUAACCUAAGUUUUAUCUAUAGAAACAGGCGAAUCUCUAGACUGCAGAGGGCAUGCUUGACUCUGUGCAUAUCGUCAGUCAGCGAUUUGAGACCUAGUUGAUCUGGUGAACGACUAUUGGUAUAGGGCACAUUACCCAGGGUACUCAAAGCUGGCUGAAGAUACAUACAAAAACUGUGGCUAGUUGUUCUAGAGGAACAGGCGGACCUCUAGAUAACAGGGGAACAGGCGAACCCCCGUUCAGAUCCGUCAGGCCGUCGACAUUAAACAACUAUUGCUAUAUAGGGCAUAUUACCCCGGGCCGCAACUGAUAACCUGACUGACCACAUCGAGUCUCCAUAGGUCUGCUCAUUUAGGUCUUCAGUGCGACCUGAAUGAGCAGUGAUUGCGCUACACGUGGUGAACGUUGUCCAUCGGACAGCACUUCUCUGCCAAUAAUGACAAUCUACACGAUGUAUAGGUUGUCAUUUCCG